GAUUAACAUAAACCAUACCUUCUCGUGGUGUUAAUUGUGAGUAAUUUUUUAUAAAAAUGAAACUAAAUGGUU
rnacentral:ribozyme from 1 species